GAACUNCGAUUGCGAAGGCAGCUUGCUGGACUGUAACUGACGCUGAGGCACGAAAGCGUGGGGAUCAAACAGGAUUAGAUACCCUGGUAGNCCACGCCGUAAACGAUGAAUGCUAGCUGUUAGCGAUAUACUGUNAGCGGCACAGAGAAAUCGUUAAGCAUUCCACCUGGGGAGUACGCCGGCAACGGUGAAACUCAAAGGAAUUGACGGGGGCCCGCACAAGCGGAGGAACAUGUGGUUUAAUUCGAUGAUACGCGAGGAACCUUACCUGGGCUUAAAUUGCAGUGGAAUAACGUGGAAACAUGUUAGCCUUCGGGCCGCUGUGAAGGUGCUGCAUGGUUGUCGUCAGCUCGUGCCGUGAGGUGUCGGCUUAAGUGCCAUAACGAGCGCAACCCUCAUCGAUAGUUACUAACAGGUUAAGCUGAGGACUCUAUCGAGACUGCCGACGUAAGUCGUGAGGAAGGUGGGGAUGACGUCAAAUCAGCACGGCCCUUACGUCCAGGGCUACACACGUGUUACAAUGGGGGGUACAAAGGGCAGCUACCUGGCGACAGGAUGCUAAUCUCUAAAACCUUUCUCAGUUCGGAUUGGAGUCUGCAACCCGACUCCAUGAAGCUGGAUUCGCUAGUAAUCGCGCAUCAGCCAUGGCGCGGUGAAUACGUUCCCGGGCCUUGUACACACCGCCCGUCAAGCCAUGGAAGCUGGGGGUACCUGAAGUAUGCAACCGCAAGGAGCGUCCUAGGGUAAAACCGGUAACUGGGGCU
rnacentral:rRNA from 1 species